GAUGAAGAACGCAGCGAAAUGCGAUAAGUAAUGUGAAUUGCAGAAUUCAGUGAAUCAUCGAAUCUUUGAACGCACAUUGCGCCCGCCAGUAUUCUGGCGGGCAUGCCUGUCUGAGCGUCAUUUCAACCCUCAUGCCCCUAGGGCGUGGUGUUGGGGAUCGGCCAAAGCCCGCGAGGGGCGGCCGGCCCCUAAAUCUAGUGGCGGACCCGUCGUGGCCUCCUCUGCGAAGUAGUGAUAUUCCGCAUCGGAGAGCGAUGAGCCCCUGCCGUUAAACCCCCAACUUUCCAAGGUUGACCUCAGAUCAGGUAGGAAUACCCGCUGAACUUAAGCAUAUCAAUAAGCGGAGGA
rnacentral:misc_RNA from 1 species